rnacentral:misc_RNA from 1 species
AACUUUCGGCAAUGGAUCUCUUGGCUCUCGUAUCGAUGAAGAACGCAGCGAAAUGCGAUAAGUAAUGUGAAUUGCAGAUUUUCAGUGAAUCAUCGAAUCUUUGAACGCACCUUGCGCUCCUUGGUAUUCCGAGGAGCAUGCCUGUUUGAGUGUCAUUAAAUCCUCAACCCCACCGAUUUGCUUCGGGGGGAUUGGACUUGGAGCGUGCUGGCGAAGGUCGGCUCCUCUUUAAAUGCAUCAGUGGAGAAAGAAAGCUCGUCCCAGUGUGAUAAUCCUGUUGCGCUGUGGUGGGGUGAAAAUUCCGCUUCCAACCCGUCCUCCGGGACAAGACAUCUCAAUUUGACCUCAAAUCAGGUAGGACUACCCGCUGAACUUAAGCAUAUCAAUAAGCGGAGGAU